UACGGGGGGAGCAAGCGUUGUUCGGAUUUACUGGGCGUAAAGGGCGCGUAGGCGGCUUUGACAAGUCAGUUGUGAAAUCUCUGGGCUUAACUCAGAACGGUCAACUGAUACUGUCAGGCUAGAGUGCAGAAGGGGCAACUGGAAUUCUCGGUGUAGCGGUGAAAUGCGUAGAUAUCGAGAGGAACACCUGCGGCGAAGGCGGGUUGCUGGGCUGACACUGACGCUGAGGCGCGAAAGCUAGGGGAGCGAACGGG
rnacentral:rRNA from 1 species